CCAAAAAUUGAACUCAUCAGUCUCACGUCAGUGCCUGGUAAAGUUAUGGAGAAGAUGAUCCUUGAAGUCAUUGAAGCACACCUGGGGGACAAUGCAGUCAUUGGUCCCAGACAACAUGAGUUCACAAGGGGUAGGUCCUGUUUAA